rnacentral:sRNA from 1 species
GCCCGGGCACAGUGGCGCAUGCCUAUAAUCCCAGCAGCUGGGAGGCUGAGGCAGGAGGAUUGAGAGUUCAAAGCCAACCUCAGCAAAAUCGAGGCACUAAGCAACUCAGUGAGACCCUGUCUCUA